rnacentral:ncRNA from 2 species
CAACCAUCCAGAGCGACCGAGAGACCUGGCUCGUCGACGUCGCAGCAACCCCCCGGUUCACCGGGUGCGGGUGCUUCCGCCGGGACCGAUGGAGG